rnacentral:rRNA from 1 species
UACGGGGGGUGCAAGCGUUAUUCGGAAUUAUUGGGCGUAAAGGGCGCGUAGGCGGUUUUAUAAGUCAGAUGUGAAAUACCUGGGCUUAACCGAGGAAGUGCAUUUGAAACUAUAAGACUUGAGUAUGGGAGAGGGUAGUGGAAUUCCUGGUGUAGAGGUGAAAUUCGUAGAUAUCAGGAGGAACACCUGUGGCGAAAGCGGCUACCUGGACCAAUACUGACGCUGAGGCGCGAAGGCGUGGGGAGCAAACAGGAUUAGAUACCCUGGUAGUCCACGCAGUAAACGGUGAUCACUAGGUGUAGCGGGUAUUGACCCCUGCUGUGCCGCAGUUAACACAUUAAGUGAUCCGCCUGGGGAGUACGAUCGCAAGGUUAAA